GAACAUUGCAGAAAUAUUAAAAAUGGGUACUUAAACCAUACAGUAUCCAAACAUUUUAUUAUACACAACAAAGAUCCACGCCUACUAAAAUGUAUAGGUAUAAAAAAAUGUUCUACCUCCUGGCGUGGAGGUGAUAUAAAAAAGCUGCUUGGUAAAACAGAGAUGGAAUGGGUGUAUAAACUUAAGACCCUUAUACCCCAUGGUCUUAAUGCAG